CUUUGGUAGUCCGGUGGUUAGAGUGUCUGCCUCGGAUGCGGGAAUUCGUGGGUUCGAACCCCGGCAUAGUCAUACCAAAGA